CCCGCACAAGCGGAGGAACAUGUGGUUAAUUCGAUGAUACGCGAGGAACCUUACCUGGGCUUAAAUGUAGAGUGCAUUUUUUAGAGAUAGAAUUCCUUCGGGGCUUUCUGCAAGGUGCUGCAUGGUUGUCGUCAGCUCGUGCCGUGAGGUGUCGGGUUAAGUCCCAUAACGAGCGCAACCCUUAUCGUUAGUUGCCAUCUGGUAAUGCAGGGGACUCUAGCGAAACUGCCACCGUAAGGUGAGAGAAGGUGGGGAUGACGUCAAAUCAGCACGGCCCUUAUGUCCAGGGCUACACACGUGUUACAAUGGUCGGUACAGAGGGCAGCUACCUGGUGACAGGAUGCUAAUCUCGAAAACCGGUCUCAGUUCGGAUCGAAGUCUGCAACUCGACUUCGUGAAGCUGGAUUCGCUAGUAAUCGCGCAUCAGCUAUGGCGCGGUGAAUACGUUCCCGGGUCUU
rnacentral:rRNA from 1 species